rnacentral:rRNA from 1 species
GCGUUGUCCGGAAUUAUUGGGCGUAAAGAGCGAGCAGGCGGUUUAGCAAGUCAGACGUGAAAUUCUCCGGCUUAACCGGAGCGGGUCGUCUGAAACUGCUAAACUAGAGUGCAGGAGAGGAAAGCGGAAUUCCCGGUGUAGUGGUGAAAUGCGUAGAUAUCGGAAGGAACACCUGUGUCGAAAGCGACUCACUGGACAAUAACUGACGCUGAUGCACGAAAGCUAG